rnacentral:rRNA from 1 species
UACGUAGGGGGCAAGCGUUGUCCGGAUUUAUUGGGCGUAAAGAGCGUGUAGGCGGCCAGGUAGGUCUGCUGUGAAAACUCGAGGCUCAACCUCGAGAUGUCGGCGGAAACCAUCUGGCUAGAGUCCGGAAGAGGAGAAUGGAAUUCCCGGUGUAGCGGUGAAAUGCGCAGAUAUCGUAAGGAAGACCAGUGGCGAAGGCGGGUCUCUGGACAGUUCCUGACGCUGAGGCACGAAGGUCAGGGGAGCAAACGGG